UCAUGCUCAUUGAAAUUAUGGAAUUUCUGAGGGAACUGAACGAAUGCCAAGGACGAAGAGGUUUUUGGGUCAAGGUGGAAACACAUUGCUUGCCUAGCUGAGGUUGGAUCAUUGCAGUACAUAUCACAGUCAAGCCCCAGUAUGUAGGGCGAAUUGCUUAUUACGCCAGAGACACGAAGCUGCAAGUUGAAGAAUGUUAAUCAGAGCAGUCUCCAUACAUACAAGCAUAAUCUAUAGGUAGUGCGUAUAGAGAUUCAUACAAGAACAUUGAGAGCUCCGCCCUUGAAAUGAUGAAGAUGUUCAGGACUUUUCUCACGAGAAACAUAAACAAGCAGAGGCAUUUCAACAAGAUCUGCUUGCCUAAUUGUCUCAUUCUCACCAGAAGUGUCCUGUAUUAUCUGCUGGAAUCCAAUUGAAUUAGAAUGUUAUUUAAGUAACUUAAACUUGUAAGUGGCAGAGUACGACAAAAAAGUUACCUCAAUAAUAGUCGAGUGGUUUCGGCUGUUCCCAUAUUCUCCAUCUUCUACAGCCUUCAUCACAUGCUCCUCAAACAUCUCAUAUUUUUCCUGUUACCAAAUUGGCAACACAUUAUGCAUCAUCUAUGCUCAUUUCCUUUCGGAUUACAUUGUAUUUAAGUACGAUCUUACAGCACUCUUGUUAUAAGCCGAUAAAAAACACUCGAAAAGAAUUUUUUGAUAAUAGCACAAAAUUAAAUUUAUUUUAACUUACCUUAAUCUUCCUUUUUUCUGUCACAAACUCACUAUCACCAAAAUUUUCAUCACUCUCUGCUUCAGAAAAAUAAGCCUGUGGGCAUAUUGUCUUGAUUCGAUAUCUCCUACAAAAGGGGAUCCACCAUUUUGCAAACCUGAAAGCUUCCCUCAUACCACGCAGAGUUAUAGGAGAACCCCCAUCAUCGGAUAAAUAAACGUGAAGUUUGUCCACCGGAUAAUCCAGGGCCAUGGCUGAUAACACAGUGUUCAUCACACCAAUAGUAGGUUCCUUUUCUGGAUCUGCAGUGCAUAUGAACACAUCGAUUGCCGGAAGUUUAUCAUCUUCCGGCAAUCUUUCUGGGAAUACAGUCCGAGAAACCGGACGCCAGAGAUAAGCUCGUCCAAGGAGCCAUAUAAAAGAAAGAAGCAGCUCAGAGGCAAAGACUAGAAGCCAUGGGAUAAUUGAUAUUGCUCUGGUUUCUUGCAAGAGAUAAGAGGCUCUAUAGUAGAUCAGCAAAGCUAUAGCUAUGCAGUGCAAGAAUGCAUGAAGCUUGUUAAGUAUCACUGAAAGAUUAUUAACAUGGCAUACGUGGAGAGGAAGAGGGCUUUCCAUUUCUGAACUUUGUUGCAAGUGUUUGCUUUAUCUCAAGCUUGAAGCCCGUGACCUGCCUCAUCUCCUUUUAAAUAAUUGGAACAAUGACUAAGAAUCACUGGAUGCUUCCUAGCUGAUGGCUUUCCUUGGUCAACAAGGAGCGGAAACUUUAUGGCUUUCCUUGGCCGGCAAGCUCACCUCAUCCAAAAAAAAAUAUAUCUUUCCACUCACUGGAUUGCUGCUGGCUGCUGCUGACAGAGGUGCCUUCAGGUACGUUGACCUUUCAAACAGAGCUUACAUGUAAGAAAAACUUGUACAAGACAGGCCUUGUUCAGAUGAUAUGUUCAUCCAAUGAAACUUUUUCAUUUCGUAGAAUAAUGAGUUUCAAAGUGGGAAGUGAGACUAACUAAAUUAUAAAUAAAUAAAUAACAGAGGAUCCCACUUUGACCUGUCCUGUGCAAAUCAUUCUCCUUCAAAUUGGUUACGGUAGUUGAUAUUUUAUCAAAAUAGUAAAGGUAGUGGUAAAGUAAAUGCAUUAUGCUUAUCCUUGAAGGACCUGUCUACGUUACAGACUCUGUUAGUAACAGACCUGUGAUCUCAAUCGUUGGAUGUGGAGAGAAAAAGAUGGAGGGUUGGCAAGCGGUCAGAAAAUUAAGUGGAAAUAAAUUCCAUAGCAUAGGGAAACCGGUUUUAAUGGUUAGUGUGCAACCGGAUGUGAGAGGCAACAAAAGGCCACGUGGUUGGAGAAAUUAACACCAGCAUGUAACCUUUCUCAUACGAAUCUGAGCAGCAUCUAACUGGACCUCGAUAUUGGCGACGAAGCACCGGCGAUCAGAUGUGAGGAUCGGUGAGCCUAUCUCCGAUGCAGCCUCGAUCGCUGAAACUGGACCACACACCGUGGAUCCAAAGUCAGAAAAUUUGCAGGAGAUGCAACGUCGCCUCGCUUGCUAUAUCAGAGUGCAAAUGAAAUAUCGAAACGCUGCAAUCCUAGACCCACCCACAUUUUUCCACUAUCAAACGGCAAAUAUUUGGAUUUUCAAAACACGGCCCAUUAGAAACAGGCAAACAGCGCCCGUGCUCCAAAUUCAGUGACGGGUUACCGGUCAGCGACCGGGAGAAUUUCAUUUUGUCACCGAAAGAAAACUGAAAUGGCAGGUUCCAUAUAUAAUCUCCCAUUCCAUCCGCCGUCCACGUGCCACGCACCCAUAUAUCAUCUUGUCAACUCACAGUCUGUUACUAACUGAGUCUGUAACGCAGACAAGUCCAUCCUUGAAAUAAUUAAAAAAAAGGUGAAAAGUAAAGUGGGUGGAAUUAUUUGAAUCCACUAAAUUUUUUUUGACACCUAUUUUAAAUUUUAGUGCGUGUUUUAGUUCCAACUUCUAUGUUCGACUUAAAUUAUUCUCUUGCUAAUUAAAUAAUUGAAGAGAUUCCCAAUUACAAUAAUUGAAUAUAAACAUCUUAUAUAUGUUCAUAAGAGUAAUCAUAGAAUUUCAAAUUAUUUAUCUUAAAUUUUAUCUUCAAUGAUAUGUCACUAAUAAAACUGUUGAUAAUUCUUAACAAAAUCAAGUGAAUUAAUUUUAUUAUUUUUUCAAUCAAUUGAUGAAUGCCGUAUAAUUUAAAAUAAUUUUUUAUUUAUCUUCUAUCUAUUAAUAUACAUGCUUGUAAAUAUUUGUAAAAACUUCUUUUCAUGGUGGUAGUGGACCCUUAAUACUUAUGUAUUAACUGUGUAUCCGCAAAAUGUAAUUGUGCUGCCCAAGCAUUGAUGGAGGUUUCACUUAAGAGCUUAAUCUUGUAAACGUGCACUGCGAGCAAUAAGCGGCGAAGUUGAAAAGUUUGCGUAGAUGGUGAUAAAACAAUACGAUAUGUCCGAAUCACUUAAAGACUGUCUCUCGAGUCUUUGUUAUGUUUGAGAUUUCAAGGUUCUAUAACCAAUAUUAUACAUUGUAAUUGGGGAAAAAAAAGAUAUAAUAACUAUAAUAUUUCAAUAUCAUUGCAAAAAUAUUUUCUUUUCUUAACGAAAUUUUAGUUCUAUUUAGAAUUCGAGUUGAAUAGCUGUAAUUUUUAAAGUAUUUGAUAAAAACUAAUUACAGUAACUUGAAAACUAAAUUGAAUUGAUUUUAUACUUAUAUGAUGAAAAAUAUAUUAUAUCUUUACUAAUUUUAUCAAAACUAUUACUUAAAUAUUAUAUUUACUACAUACUAUUAAUUUUUUUUAUAUUUAUAAUUUUUUUUCCACAUCACCUCACCUCAAUACCAAACAAAACUUUAAUUAUUUUAUUUGCUUUGUUUGUGGCAAUUAGGAUAAAAUGAAACACUCUACAUUUUGCUUAUAAUUACAUAAGAAUGAUAGAUCCAAAGAACAAGAAAAUCAUGAAAAAUACACUUGAUAAUAAAAUGGCUGAUGGUGAAAUUCUUCCCUUGUCCUUUCUCACUAUCAUCCCUUCAACAAUUGCAAAAUUGAUGAUCAAGAUGUAGAGUGAGAGCAACAGUUGCGGAAACAACUUGUCCCAGUUGCCCACAGCAAUUAUUCUGAUAAAGCCACAAAGCAAGGCUGCCAUGUUCAGAAUCAUCAAAGAAACCAUUGGAACAAGAAACAUAGAGGAUGUUUGAAAAUCAAAUUGGCCCAUUUCAUAUCUUUUGACUUGUUCUUUAUCCAAAACCUUGUUGGUUGGCAGGAAACUGGCUUUCCUCAAGCCAAGAAGUUUCAAAAUAGCAUCCAUACUUCCAUAGAAAUGAGCUGUGACAGACUUUAUCAUCCAAAUUCUCUGCUCAUUUCUCCAUGCAUAGAUUGAACCUCCAGUGGAAUGACCUCUUGCAAGUGUUUACAAAUCGCUGAUAUGAAAAUGAAUGAAAAUACGGUAAAGAAUGGGCUUGAAACCUGCGAAAAAGGAAAAAAUAUGAUAAUCUAUUUUACUGUCUAUAAAAUUAUCAACAGCUUGUUCAGCAGGUAAGUUUUCAAUGUUUUUGACGGCACUCUUAGGAUUAGUUGUUACCUCAGGGUACAGAGAGAUGCCAUUUAACAGACACAACUGAGGAAGAGUAGCAAGACACCAUAGAGGCAAGCAAUAAAGAAGAGGGAAGAAAGAUAGCUCUCCAUAGCACAUGCUCUGAAGUAAAGACAUCCUUGAUGGUCCAUAAAGUAAAGGGCAGAAUCUUGAAAGACCAACAUCAGUCAACCCAGAGCCCCAUCUGGUACCUUGAAUCAGCAGAUCGUUCAAAUUUGUGGUUGAAGUACCCAGAAACUGUGGUCUGAAUGGGGUAAGAUACGUCGAGGUCCAGCCUUUGCAGUGUAAAAUGAAUCCUGUAAAUAAAUCUUCCGAAACAGAUUGAUACAAAAUGCCUACCUGAUAUCAAACACAAGGAGAGGGUGAUGUGUUAUGCUAUGUGAUAAUGAUUUAGCAAUGCAAUUAAGACUUGACUAUGUAUAAGUUGGUAUGCUUGAUGCUUGCCUCUUCACCCCAUUUUGUUUGAUGCUCAUAACUGCAGGAGGCUAAAACUUCAGUCUCCUGUCGCAAAACGCUGGAAAAGUUUUCACCGUUGGCAUUGUUUCGCUUGUAGCUUUGAUGGAGGGAAUUGAUGAGCACAUUGGAUUUUCCGAAAGUGUCUUUAAGUUCUAAAAUGUCAAUAUCUGUUCAUUAAACCAAAAAAAUAAAAAAUAAAAAGUUACUAUCGAUUAAUGAGCUGUAUUCUUCAACCAUCUUUAGGACUUUAGAUUGCUGACUUUAAUUUUUUAUGCUAAAAAUUUCAUGAUGUCCAAUAGAGACAAGACUUAAAAGGGUGGAAAUGCUAUUUAUUUUUGAAUUUUUAACAUCAAUUUGCAAGAAAGUCGGCAAAAGGAGGUACCAGUAUGUGUGAAAUCGCCAUAUAGUGACUCCCUCUUUAUAUAAUAGCCGGUGCCAGACAAGACUGGUCCCUUCAACCCAUCCAUCCCUUGCCAUUGCACCUUGAUUGUGGAAUGCAUAAAUAACAAAACCUUAUAUGUACAUAAUUGCUACAUCUAGUGGUUUAAUAUUUGCUCAUUUAUCUGCAUAAGGUGAUAGUAGAUAGGCUUUAAUUUACUUACGCAAUAUGCAGAUCUAAACCGUCCAUCGUAGAUAUCAUACUUAUUGAUAUUAUGGAAUUUCUGAGGGAACUGAACGAAUGCUAAGGACGAAGAGAUUUUUGGGUCAAGGUGGAAACACAUUGCUUGCCUAGCUGAAGUUGGAUCAUUGCAGUACAUAUCACAGUCCAGCCCCAAUAUGUAGGGAGAAUUGCUUAUCACGCCAGAGACACGAAGCUGCAAGCUUGAACAAUGUUAAUCAGAGCAUUUUACAUACAAACAAGCAUAAUCUGUA
rnacentral:lncRNA from 1 species